rnacentral:rRNA from 1 species
AUCUAUAGCCAUGCUACCCUGAACAAGCCUAAUCCUGUCUGAUCUCCGAAGCUAAGCAGGGUUGGGCCUGGUUAGUACUUGGAUGGGAGAUCACCUAGGAAGACCAGGUGCUGUAAGCA